UACGUAGGGCGCAAGCGUUGUCCGGAAUUAUUGGGCGUAAAGAGCUCGUAGGCGGCUUGUCGCGUCGAUUGUGAAAGCCCGGGGCUUAACUCCGGGUCUGCAGUCGAUACGGGGCAGGCUAGAGUGUGGUAGGGGAGAUCGGAAUUCCUGGUGUAGCGGUGAAAUGCGCAGAUAUCAGGAGGAACACCGGUGGCGAAGGCGGAUCUCUGGGCCAUUACUGACGCUGAGGAGCGAAAGCGUGGGGAGCGAACAGG
rnacentral:rRNA from 1 species